GAGAAAUGCAAAUCAAAACUACUCUAAGAUUUCAUCUCACUCCAGUCAUAAUGUCAAUUUUCAAAAAUACAAGCAAGAAGAAGUGUGGUAGGAGGUGGUAAGGGGAAAAGGCACACUCAUACAUUGCUGGUGGCACUGCAAAUUGGUGCAACUACUCUGGAAAGCAGUAUAGAGAUUCCUUAGAAAACUUGGAAUGGAACCAUAUUUGACCCAGUUAUUCCACUCCUUGGUCUUUACCCAGAGGACUUAAAAUCAGCAGACUAUAGUGACACAGCCACAUCAGUAUUUAUACCAGCUCAAUUCACGAUAGAUAAACUUGGAAGCAACAUAGAUGCCCUUCAACAGAUGAAUGGAUAAAGAAGCUGUGGCACUUAUACACAAUGGACUAUUACUCCACAUUAAUAGAGAAUAAAAUCAGAGCAUCUGCAGGUAAAUGGAUGGAGGUUUAGAAUAUCAUGGUAUGUAAAGUAAGCCAAUCCUAAAAAAACAAAGGCCCAAUGUUCUCUGUGAUAAGUGGAUCCUGAACCAAAAGGGACAAGGGCGGUGGUCAACGAAAGAAUAGAGGAACUUUGAUUGGGAAAAGCAGGGGAGGAGACAUGAGGGCAGGAAAGACAGUGGAAUGAGAUGGACAUCAUUACCCUAAGUCCAUGUGUGAGUGCAGACGUGGUGGGACUCUACUUCCUGCACAACCAGAGAAAUGAAAAGUUGUGUUCCGUUUGUGUACAAUGAAUCAAAAUGCAUUCUACUGUAUGUAUAACUAAUUAGAAGAAAGAAAUAAUAAUAACAAACUUAUUUUUGAGUUCUUUUUAUGUUCUGCAUGUUAAUCUUCUGUAAGAAAAAUUGACUGGAAAAGGUUUUGCUCCCUUCUGUGAGCCCUCUCUCUGUGUCUCAUCUCCUCAAUGUGCACAAGCUUUUCAACUUGAGCCUCUCCAUUUAUCAACUCCUGGCCUUUCCUGAACACUAGGACUCUUACAGAAGUAACGCUUGCACCUACAGGUCAGAGGAUAGGCACUAUGAUUUCCACUAGUAGUGUCGUUGUUUAUGGUCUAAUUCCUGUUUUUUGAUCCACUUGGAGUUGAUUUUUCUGCAGGAUUUAGCUUCAUUCUUCUACCUGUAGAUGUUCAGUUUUCCAAGCACCAUUUAUUAAAUAGGGUUUGUUUUCUCCAAAAUUUGCUUUUCGUGUCUUUCUUGAGGAUCAUUUGACUCCAUCUGUGUGGGUCUGUCUCUGAGUCUUCUAUUCUAAUCUACUGAUCUCAGUGAAUGUUUUGAUAUUAGCAAACUUUUUUGUUACUAUACCUCUUCAGUAUGACUUGAGACUGGUUAGACUUUAAAACAUGAUAACUUCAGCAUUAUUAUUAUUAUUAUUCUAUGGCACUGGGGAUUAGACCCAGGGCUCUGCAGGUGCUAGUCAAGUGCUCUAUGACUGAGCCACAUCCCCAGCCCCUUUUCAUACUUUAUCUAGAGAGAGGGCUUCCCUAAGUUGCUGAGGCUGGCUUUGA
rnacentral:lncRNA from 1 species